UACGAAGGGGGCUAGCGUUGUUCGGAAUUACUGGGCGUAAAGCGCGCGCAGGCGGUCCUUCAAGUCAGAGGUGAAAGCCCAGAGCUCAACUUUGGAAUGGCCUUUGAGACUAGAGGACUUGGGUACGGGAGAGGUGAGUGGAAUUCCGAGUGUAGAGGUGAAAUUCGUAGAUAUUCGGAAGAACACCAGUGGCGAAGGCGGCUCACUGGCCCGUUACCGACGCUCAGGCGCGACAGCGUGGGGAGCAAACAGG
rnacentral:rRNA from 1 species